AGGUUAUUUUGGUGAAUAAUUCGGAACUCACUAAUGGAGGUAUGAAAAUAGCAAUUUACGAAACUUACUAUAUUAUAGUAGGGGUUAAGUACGAUUCUUAUAGGUAACGAGUUUAAAAGGUACGAAAAGGAAGUAUUUAGAUUUAAUAUUACACCACCAAAAGAAAAUAACCAAAAGUCUUUAGCAUCGUUCAUAGGUCCUCGUACGUCUUCCAAAAUUCCGGGCAAGACCUCGAUCCGCUACUCGACCCAUCCCGGCUGAGGAUUACUAGCACUACUACCUGCAAUUAAAAGACAUCUAUAUGAGCUAUAAAGCUCAGUAAGAAAUCCGAUGAAAUAUCGAACUUUGAAAAUAUGUUAUAUAUAAUAUAUAAUAUUACAUACCCAUUCUUACCCACAUUCCGUACAACACACAAGACAAUCGGUCAAACCACAUAACUCACGAAAACACAUCAUUCGCACAUAAUCACGUACUUAUGCAAAAUGACUAAGAUGCCCUUUUUAUGAAAAUCAUGAAAAAAACACAUUUUUCGUUUUAUCGGAUCCGUGAAAGAUAAAUUUCUGUACCUGGAUAAUAAACCUGUUACGAGCCCGUUUUCACUAAGUGGAAUCAAACCACAACACACAUCAUCCUAGCUGGAUACCGGCCCACUAUAUCCGAGUUGUUUAUUACCCGAUAUUCCAUUAAUCUUUAAAUUUAAAAACCUUUUAAUGCAACUUUUCGAAAUCAUGCUUAUGACCCACACAUAACAUCACAAAUAUCAAUCUAGUGCCACAAAAUCAUACAAAUAUCACAAUUUACCACAUAUUUAUAAUUUGGGCAAAAAUCCCCAAAUUCUCACACAUAAACACACAACCACACACGGCACACACCUCAUGCACAAUCAGCAAACACACACUCACACAUAUUCAGCACACACACAUGCAACCACACAUUAAAACAUCACCAUUUAAUAUGAAACCAUGCUUGUAAAGCAAGCACCCCUUUUUACCUUUCAUUAAAUGAACUUAUUACCACAUCUAGGUGAUAAUCCAUUUCAAUCAAUUUUCACAGCAAUUAAUUCACAUCCAGGCAUCAAUUAAAAUUACAAAACCCCAAAUCUCAUCACUCAUCACCAUUAAAUCAAAGACAUAAACAUAAAAGCACAAAACAAAAUAAAUGACAUGCAAAUUGUCCAAAUUUCGAAAUAAUAGCAAACUAAUUCCCAAAAUUCCCAAAUUAAAUACUAGGACUCCUAACUGACCCAAAUUUUAGUUUCUGAAAUUACUUUAAAUAUUCACCAAGUUUCGAAUUUUCUUGAAAUCAAAACUAGGAAAUUCCAUUUUUCUUUUGAAAAAUCCAAAACUCUCAUGUGACCUUAAUUACUUUGAAAACUUUGUAAAGAAAACUUUUUCCCCAUUUAAUACUUACUGGAAAAAUAGAUCCAAACUUUAAUAAUGAGAGAUCUUUCAAAAAUUGCAGUUUUGACCCCAAAGUUUCAAGAUUUACACAUGCAACCACACUAAAAGUUCAAAAUCCACUUUUUCAUGAAAAACCCUUAACAAAUCUGAAAUUAUAUUUUAUUAGAUGCAGAAAUUGAAGUUGAAAAGUCACUUUAUGCAGAAAUUUCAAAAAUUACAUAUUUUACCCCAAAAUCUCUAGAUCUUCACAUGCAAUACCACUAAAAGUUCAAAAACCAUUUUUUCUUACAAAACUUCUUUAAAUCCGAAAAUUUUGUUCAAUAAAUGCUGGAAAACAGUUUUGAAAACACAUUUAGGACUGACUUCUCGAAAAUUACAGAUUUGACCCAAAAAUCUUUCGAUUUACACAUGCAACCCGAUAAAAGUUCAAAAUUUCAUUUUUCUUGAAAACCCCUUUUUGAAAUCCGAAAUUUUUAAUUCUUUUGGCCAAUAAAAGUUGUGUCUACCCACUAUCAACAUAGAUGAUGCAUGCAAGAACAAGAAAUUAACACCAAACACUUCUUUUCCAUUUUUCCCCAAAAAACCCUAAAUUUUCGAAAUCACUCCCAAUCUUUUAGAAAAUUCUGAAAAUCUUUUUAAUACUAUUGAUGCCAUUUAAUUGCAGCAAGAAAUCGGAAUUUCUUACCUUAAAAUCGAAGAAAGAAAACAACCGAAGGAAGAGAGGCUUUCAAGCACCGAAAUCCAACCAAGCUACCUUGAUUGUGAAUGAAAUGGUGUGAGCUUCAAGGAGGGAUGAGUUGUUACCUCCCGUUAGGAGGCAAGUGGUUUUGAUGGUGUUUUUGGAGUAGUCUAUAGCAAGGGUUAAAUAGGGAACCUUCAUUUUGUUUUUGGGAUUUUCUUUGAAAAUGGGAGGUGAGGUGGAUGAAGAAGAAAGCCGACGGUGGUGGUGAUGGCUUCGGUGGAUAGAGGAGGAGAAGACAAGUAAUUGGCUAGGUGUUGGAAGAAAAAAAGAUGAAGAGUGUCUCUUCAUCUUACUAAUCCCCUCUUUUGUGUAAAAUUAGGAAAUGAUGGCAAUUUGCCAAGUGGAAAGAUAUGCAUAAUUAGUACUAAUUUAUUUAUUUAAAUAAGUCCCACUUGUAUAACACACACACACACAAUUCGGACAUGCACACACACACACACACACACACACAUAUAUAUAUAUAUAUAUAUAUAUAUAUAUAUAUAUAUAUAUAUAUAUAUAUAUAUAUAUAUAUAUAUAUAUAUAUAUAUAUAUAUAUAAUUCACAUAAGUCACGAAAUUCCUAGAAGUUCAAUUUACGGGAAUUUAAAUCAUAUAAAUCACACAUAUAAUAACGCAUGUAAUUAUUCACGUAAGUCACAUAAUUAAAUUCACGUAAUGCAUAUAAUUAAUAUCAUGUAAUAAUAUUACGUAAGGGUUCUCGAGUUGGAAAUAUUAGUCUCGGGUUUUUAGGGUUUUCGGGUUUCGGAAAGGUGGGGUGUUACAAUCUCCCCCCCUUAAAGAAAUUUUGUCCCCAAAAUUGUUACCUGAACAACUCGGGGAAAUUUUCGCGCAUUUCCUCUUCCCGUUCCCACGUGGCUUCUUCGGGUGUAUGGUUUUGCCAAAGGAUCUUAACAAAUUUUAGGUCUCGGUUUCGUAGGGUUUUGGUUUUGAAAUCGAGUAUUUGGGACGGUUUCUCUUCGUAGGAAAGGUUAGGGUUUAGAUCGAUCGGUUCGGUUUUCAAUACGUGGUAUGGACUGCGAAUGUAUUUUCGAAGCAUGGAAACGUUAAAGACAUUGUGAAAGUUGGAUAAAUUGGGUGGUAAGGCUAGUCGAUAAGCGCGAGUACCAACUUGGUCGAGAAUUUCGAAUGGGCCAAUUAGUCGCGGUGCUAAUUUUCCCUUUUUUUCCAAAUCGCAUAAUUCCUUUGAAAGGCGCCACUUUUAAGAAUACGGAGUCUCCGACUUCGAAUUCGAGAUCUCUCCUUCGAGUGUUGGCAUAGCUUUGUUGCUGAUCUUGGGCGAUUCGCAUUUUCUCUCGGAUGUUUUUGAUGAUAUCGACAGUUUGUUGGACUAGGUCGGGACCAAGAAAUUUUCUUUCGCCAAUGGAGCGGGGACCUACACUUGCGGCCAUAAAGAGCUUCGUAGGGUGCCAUUCCAAUUGACGAGUGAAAGCUAUUGUUGUACGCGAAUUAGAUUAGUGGGAGGCGGGAUUCCCAAUUUCCUCCAAAGUCGAGAAUGCAAGAGCAGAGAAGAUCUUCAAGGGUUUUGAUAGUUCGUUCGGAUUGGCCGUCGGUUUGGGGGUGAUAGGCGGUGCUAAAGUUUAAUCGCGUUCCGAGGGUUUCGUGUAAACGUUUCCAGAAUUUUGACGUGAAUCGAGGGUCUCGGUCGGAAAUAAUGGAGACGGGGACACCGUGGAGUCGGACUAUGUCUCGGACCUAUAGUUCGGUCAGCUUUUCUAAACUGAACGUCAUUCGGACCGGAAGAAAGUGAGCCGUUUUGGUCAGUCGGUCAACGAUCACCCAAAUGGCGUCGGAUCCCCUUUGGGUCUUCCGAAAUCAUUGCACGAAGUCCAUUGUGAUAGCUUCCCAUUUCCAUUCUAGAAUUAGUUUUGAUUGAAGUAGACCUCCGGGCCUUUGAUGUUCCGCUUUGACUUGUUGGCACACUAGGCAUUCGGCGAUGAAUCGGGCCACAUCUUUCUUCAUUCCAGGCCACCAGUAGAGCUUUUUGAGAUCUUGGUACAUCUUGGUUUCUCCGGGAUGGCAAGUGUACGUGGUUUGGUGAGCUUCUGUUAGGAUCAGUUGGCGAACAUUUGGAUCAUCGGGGACGUAAAUGCGAUUUUGGAAUCUGACGAGACCUUCUUUGAAAAUUCGGAAGUUGGGAUUGGAUUCGAGGUUAUCGCGGAUUUUGAGAAUAUGUGGAUCGUUUUGUUGGGCUGCUUUGAUCGAUUCUCCCAAGUUAGGUUGGACUAUAAGGGCGUUGAUCGAUUCGCGGCUAAGUGCGUCGGCGACCACAUUUGCUUUGCCGGGGUGAUAGAGUAUCUCGCAGUCGUAAUCCUUGACUAGUUCGAGCCAUCUUCGUUGCCUCAUAUUCAAGUCCUUCAGGGUGAAGAAGUAUUUCAGGCUCUUGUGAUCGGUGUAGAUAGUACACUUUUCACCAUAGAGAUAGUGUCGCCAGAUCUUGAGUGCGAAAACGACGGCGGCUAAUUCGAGAUCGUGCGUCGGAUAAUUGCGUUCAUAUUCCUUGAGUUGACGUGAGGCGUAGGCAAUGACUUUCCCAUUUCGCAUAAGGACGGCGCCAAAACCUAAUUUCGAGGCAUCACUGUAGACUAUGAAUUCUCCAACUUUCUCUGGUAGUGUGAGGAUUGGUGCCGAUGUGAGUCGAUUCUUUAAUUUGGUGAAACUGGCGUCGCAUUCGGGCGUCCACUGGUAUUUGACGUCUUUUCGAGUUAAUCAGGUGAGUGGGGAGGCAAGCUUCGAGAAAUCCUUCACGAAUUUGCGGUAGUAGCCGGCUAGUCCAAGGAAACUUCGGAUUUCCUUUGCGUUCUUCGGAAUUAACCAAUUGGACACCGCUUCUAUUUUGUUAGGGUCGACGGAGAUUCCUUGUUCUGAAACAAUGUGACCAAGGAAAGCUACACUCGUUAGCCAGAAUUCGCAUUUGCUGAAUGCGAUCGGAGAAUUUGGAGUACGGUGCGAAGGUGCGACAUAUGAUCUUUUUGGGUUUUGUAGUAGAUGAGAAUGUCGUCGAUGAAGACAAUUACAAAUUGGUCCAAAUAUUGGUGAAAAACUCGGUUCAUAAGGUCCAUGAAAGCUGCGGGGGCAUUAGUUAGACCGAAGGGCAUGACAACGAAUUCAUAGUGGCCAUAUCGGGUUCUGAAAGCUGUUUUGGGGAUGUCAGACUCCUUAAUUUUGAGUUGGUGAUAACCGUAUCGGAGAUCGAUCUUGGAGAAGACUGAUGAGCCUUGGAGUUGGUCGAAGAGAUCAUCGAUUCGAGGUAGAGGGUAUUUAUUCUUGAUUGUGAUUUUGUUGAGUUCACGGUAAUCAAUGCAAAGGCGGAGGGAUCCGUCUUUCUUUUUGACAAAGAGAACCGGUGCGCCCCACGGGGAAUGGCUGGGUCAAACAUAGCCUUUGUCGAGCAAUUCUUGGACUUGGUCCUUCAGCUCCUUCAAUUCCAUCGUGGCCAUACGGUACGGGGCUUUGGAAAAUGGCGUAGCUCCGGGGAUGAGAUUGAUUUCGAACUCGAUUUCUCGAUCCGGCGGGAGUCCAGGAAUGUCAUUAGGAAAUACGUCGGGGAAUUCUUGGACAACUCGAAUGUCGGAUAUUUGGGCUUUGGGAUCGGGCUCGGAUUUCAGAAUAUCCACUAACUAACCGGAAUGGCCUUUGUGGAUGAGUUUGAUUUCUUUGAUCGCGGAUAUGAUUGGAAUUGAGGUUUUGGGUUGACUUCGGAAUUUUAGGGUUUCGCCGCUCGGAAGAGGAAAAAUAACCAUUUUUGAGGCACAAUCAAUUUGGGCUUUGAAUUUGGUUAACCAGUCCAUGCCUAGUAUAACUUUGAAGUUGUGGAUUGGUAGGAGGAUUAAAUCGAAAUUCAUGGGUUGAGUGUGAACUCGGAUUGGGCAUUUGAUUAUGGCUAGGUUGGAGCACAUUUCUUCGCCAGAGGGAAUGAGAAUGCGGUAUUCGUAAUUUAGUCGAUUCGGUUCGAGAUUUAAGUGCGCAAUUAUGUCUUUUGAUAUAAAGAAAUGUGUAGAGCCGGAAUCCAUUAGAGCGUAUAUGGGUGCUUCGAGGAUAAAUAUGAUACCUGCUACCAUGGACGGCUCUUGCUCAAUUUGUUCAGUCAGGGCGAAUACUCGACCGGGGGACGUUCGGCGGAGGUUUCGGACAAUCUUUCACCAUGUGUCCGGGCUGAUGGCAUCGGAAGCAACUUCUCGUUCCUUGUACGCAUUCUCCGGAGUGACUCUUUCCACACUUUGGGCAGGUUGGCCUUGGCGGCGGUGGCGGUGGUCCGGUUGGCUGGCGGAUGGGCUGCGUUCCUUUUCCUCGGAAUGGGCUGUUGCCAAAGUUGUUCUUUUUCCAUGGGCGUUGGAUGUUUGGUGGCGGUCGGCGUUUGUUUUGAAUUUCUUCCUCGUCUUGGGCAGCCAUGAGUGCUUUGUCUACGAGUUGGCAGAAAGUCGAUACUUCAGACAUACGAAUGUCUCUACGGAUUUCGGGUUGGAGGCUGCGAAUAAAAUGGUUCUCCUUUUCUUCUGCGUCUCGAGCGAUGAAUGGGGCGUAGAGGCAGCCAGGUUCAAAACGGCGGAUGUAUUCGAUCAUUGGUAAGUCGCCUUGGCGGAGUUCGAGGAAUUCUUUGAGUUUGUGGGCUCGCACGUCUUUCGAGAAAUAUUUUUCGAAGAAUUGGACUUUGAAAUCGGUCCAUGGCAGAGUCUCGAGGUUCGUUCCUUCUUUGAUCCCUUCGCACCAGUGACGAGCUUCGUUUCGGAGUAGGAAUAUGGCACAGUGCACCCGGUCGCGAUCGGUCAUUUGCAUAUAGUCGUAUAUGACUUCGAGAGAUUUGAUCCACUCUUCGGCUAUGGCGGGAUCGGUUCCACCGUGGAAUUCGGAUGGGUUCAUUCAGAGGAAUCGUUCGUAUAUAGCUUGAGGCGCAUUGUUUUGAGGCGGGGUUCGGUUACGUUGGAGGAGUUGUUGGAUUUGACGUUGGUGGAUUUGGGCUUGUUCACUGAUUAGGUUGGAGAGAUUAUAGAUAGUUUGAUUGUGGUCUUGUGGUGCAUUGGAAGGAGUGCUCGGGUUUCCUCGAGUUAUACGUCUCGCCAUUAUUUCAAUAUUAAUCCACGACUAAUAAAUAAAGCAAGUAAAACACAUAAAGAAAAUAAUGCACAUACUUUACCGGAUGGUUCGAGCUUCGCGUCUCGAGUAGUCUUUAAGCCCGUGAAGUUCGUACGAGUAUCUAUGAACCAUGCUCUGAUACCACUCUCUGUAGCACCCCCUUCUAGUCGGGCGAUAAAUCGAACCGGUUUAUCGGAAUGUUUAUUAAACUAGCGGAAGCAAAGGAUCUCUUUGUAAUUUUUAAAACUUUGGAAUUGGGCGAAAAUGCAAUUAUCAAAAAUAUCUUCUUUUGGGUAUUGAAAACUUUGCAUUUUCGAAAAACUUUUCUUAGGUUACUUUAGCCGAAUAAAGGUUUCGUUUGGAAAUAAGUUUCGAGGGGAGGUUUUUAGUUCGAGUGCUACAAUAUCACUAUCGGUUUUCGGUUCGAGAAGAAAUCAGAGUUUGGAAAUGUUAUUUUGGUGAAUAAUUCGGAACUCACUAAUGGAGGUAUGAAAAUAGCAAUUUACGAAACUUACUAUAUUAUAGUAGGGGUUAAGUACGAUUCUUAUAGGUAACGAGUUUAAAAGGUACGAAAAGGAAGUAUUUAGAUUUAAUAUUACACCACCAAAAGAAAAUAACCAAAAGUCUUUAGCAUCGUUCAUAGGUCCUCGUACGU
rnacentral:lncRNA from 1 species